CCUACGGGUGGCAGCAGUGAGGAAUAUUGGUCAAUGGGCUUACGCCUGAACCAGCCAAGUCGCGUGAGGGAAGACUGCCCUAUGGGUUGUAAACCUCUUUUGUCAGGGAGCAACGCCGGCUACGUGUAGCCGGACUGAGAGUACCUGAAGAAAAAGCAUCGGCUAACUCCGUGCCAGCAGCCGCGGUAAUACGGAGGAUGCGAGCGUUAUCCGGAUUUAUUGGGUUUAAAGGGUGCGUAGGCGGAAUGCCAAGUCAGCGGUAAAAUCGCGGGGCUCAACCUCGCUCCGCCGUUGAAACUGGCGUGCUUGAGUGGGAGAGAAGUAUGCGGAAUGCGUGGUGUAGCGGUGAAAUGCAUAGAGAUCACGCAGAACUCCGAUUGCGAAGGCAGCAUACCGGCGCCCAACUGACGCUGAAGCACGAAAGCGUGGGUAUCGAACAGGAUUAGAUACCCCCGUAGUC
rnacentral:rRNA from 1 species